rnacentral:rRNA from 1 species
UACGUAGGUGGCAAGCGUUGUCCGGAUUUACUGGGCGUAAAGAGCGCGCAGGCGGUCGUUCAAGUCGCGUGUGAAAGCCCCCGGCUCAACUGGGGAGGGUCACGCGAUACUGAUCGACUCGAAGGCAGGAGAGGGUAGUGGAAUUCCCGGUGUAGUGGUGAAAUGCGUAGAUAUCGUAAGGAAGACCAGUGGCGAAGGCGGGUCUCUGGACAGUUCCUGACGCUGAGGCACGAAGGUCAGGGGAGCAAACGGG